rnacentral:rRNA from 1 species
UACGUAGGGUGCAAGCGUUAAUCGGAAUUACUGGGCGUAAAGCGUGCGCAGGCGGUUGUGCAAGACCGAUGUGAAAUCCCCAGGCUUAACCUGGGAAUGGCAUUGGUGACUGCACGGCUAGAGUGUGUCAGAGGGGGGUAGAAUUCCACGUGUAGCAGUGAAAUGCGUAGAGAUGUGGAGGAAUACCGAUGGCGAAGGCAGCCCCCUGGGAUAACACUGACGCUCAUGCACGAAAGCGUGGGGAGCAAACAGG